rnacentral:rRNA from 1 species
UACGUAGGGGGCAAGCGUUGUCCGGAAUUAUUGGGCGUAAAGGGCGUGUAGGCGGUCCGCUAAGUCUGAUGUGAAAGCCCGGGGCUCACCCCCGGAAGGGCAUUGGAAACUGGCGGACUCGAGUCCCGGAGAGGAAGGUGGAAUUCCUGGUGUAGCGGUGAAAUGCGCAGAUAUCAGGAAGAACACCCGUGGCGAAGGCGGCUCUCUGGGACGGUACUGACGCUGAGGAACGAAAGCCAGGGUAGCGAACGGG